ACGAACGCUGGCGGCGUGCUUCACCCAUGCAAGUCGUACGGUAAGGCCCUUUCGGGGGUACACGAGUGGCGAACGGGUGAGUAACACGUGAGUAACCUGCCCACAACUUUGGGAUAACGCUAGGAAACUGGUGCUAAUACUGGAUAUGUGCUCCUGCUGCAUGGUGGGGGUUGGAAAGCUCCGGCGGUUGUGGAUGGACUCGCGGCCUAUCAGCUUGUUGGUGGGGUAGUGGCCUACCAAGGCGGCGACGGGUAGCCGGCCUGAGAGGGUGACCGGCCACAGUGGGACUGAGAUACGGCCCAGACUCCUACGGGAGGCAGCAGUGGGGAAUAUUGCACAAUGGGCGCAAGCCUGAUGCAGCAACGCCGCGUGCGGGAUGACGGCCUUCGGGUUGUAAACCGCUUUCAGCAGGGACGAAGCUUUUUGUGACGGUACCUGCAGAAGAAGCACCGGCUAACUACGUG
rnacentral:rRNA from 1 species